rnacentral:rRNA from 1 species
UACGAAGGGGGCUAGCGUUGCUCGGAAUCACUGGGCGUAAAGCGCACGUAGGCGGCUUUCUAAGUCAGGGGUGAAAUCCUGGAGCUCAACUCCAGAACUGCCUUUGAUACUGGAGAGCUUGAGUCCGGGAGAGGUGAGUGGAACUCCUGGUGUAGCGGUGGAAUGCGCAGAUAUCAGGAGGAACACCAAUAGCGAAGGCAGCUCGCUGGGACGUUACUGACACUGAGGCGCGAAAGCGUGGGGAGCGAACAGG